rnacentral:ncRNA from 1 species
GCACAAGGGGGAGACUGCGACGCGUCGGGAGCAUGCGGUCACUGUACGUCCCCGGCGUCGAGUCAAUGGUGAGACCGGCCCACGUGGUC